GUUUGAUCCUGGCUCAGGAUGAACGCUAGCGACAGGCCUAACACAUGCAAGUCGAGGGGCAGCACGAAUCAAGCUUGCUUGAUUUGGUGGCGACCGGCGCACGGGUGCGUAACAGGUGUGCAAUCUGUCCAUAAUCGGGGAAUAGCCCAGCGAAAGUUGGAUUAAUGCUCCAUGUGAGUUUUAGAGGCAUCUCUUUAAUUUGAAACGUAAGGAUUAUGGGUGAGCACGCUUCUGAUUAGGUAGUUGGUGAGGUAACGGCUCACCAAGCCGACGAUCAGUAGGGGUUCUGAGAGGAAGGUCCCCCACAUUGGAACUGAGACACGGUCCAAACUCCUACGGGAGGCAGCAGUGAGGAAUAUUGGUCAAUGGACGGAAGUCUGAACCAGCCAAGUCGCGUGAAGGAUGAAGGUUCUAUGGAUUGUAAACUUCUUUUGUCUGAGGGUAAAAAAGCGGACGUGUCCGUUCUUGCAAGUAUCAGACGAAUAAGCAUCGGCUAACUCCGUGCCAGCAGCCGCGGUAAUACGGAGGAUGCGAGCGUUAUCCGGAUUUAUUGGGUUUAAAGGGUGCGUAGGCGGGUUGCUAAGUC
rnacentral:rRNA from 1 species